rnacentral:tRNA from 1 species
GGUCUAUUAGUUUAAAUAAAAUGCUGGUUUUGUAAUCCUGCGAUAAUUUCAUUAUUGACCU